GCUGUGAUGGCCGAGUGGUUAAGGCGUUGGACUAGAAAAUCCAAUGGGAUCUUCCCGCGUAGGUUCGAACCCUACUCACAGCG
rnacentral:tRNA from 1 species